AGCUCCAAUAGCGUAUAUUAAAGUUGUUGCAGUUAAAAAGCUCGUAGUUGGAUUUGGGACGGGGGUCGCCGGGUCGGCCGCGAGGUCUGUUACUGGGCGGCUCCGUCAUCACAUUCCCGGAGACCCGUCGUGCACUUGACUGUGCGCGGCGCGGGACUCGGGACGUUUACUUUGAAAAAAUUAGAGUGUUCAAAGCAGGCUCUUACAAGCCGGGAUACAUGAGCAUGGAAUAAUGGAAUAGGACCGCGGUCUUAUUUUGUUGGUUUCUAAAACCGCAGUAAUGAUUAAGAGGGACAAUUGGGGGCGUCCGUAUUUCGUUGUCAGAGGUGAAAUUCUUGGAUUUACGAAAGACGAACAACUGCGAAAGCAUUCGCCAAGAGUGUUUUCAUUAAUCAAGAAC
rnacentral:rRNA from 1 species